rnacentral:rRNA from 1 species
UCCAGACUCCUACGGGAGGCAGCAGUGGGGGAUAUUGCACAAUGGGGGAAACCCUGAUGCAGCAACGCCGCGUGAGUGAAGAAGUAUUUCGGUAUGUAAAGCUCUAUCAGCAGGGAAGAGAAUGACGGUACCUGACUAAGAAGCCCCGGCUAACUACGUGCCAGCAGCCGCGGUAAUACGUAGGGGGCGAGCGUUAUCCGGAUUUACUGGGUGUAAAGGGAGCGUAGACGGCUGGUCAAGUCUGAAGUGAAAGCCCGGGGCUUAACCCCGGAACGGCUUUGGAAACUGAGCAGCUAGAGUGCUGGAGAGGUAAGCGGAAUUCCUAGUGUAGCGGUGAAAUGCGUAGAUAUUAGGAGGAACACCAGUGGCGAAGGCGGCUUACUGGACAGUAACUGACGUUGAGGCUCGAAAGCGUGGGGAGCAAACAGGAUUAGAUACCCGCGUAGGC